AACAAUUUUUGUGAAAAGUUCACCAGAGGAAAAUCAACAAUAUCUAAAAGCAUUUAUCAACAAAAUGAUGGACAUCAGACAGAAAGAAUCAUUUGGGUUAACAGACACAGAACUGUUUUUGAAUCAAUCUUCAAGUGCCACUCUGAAAGCUAAGAGUAUUGAAGUCCUUGGCUCCUGUGGCCCAUUUAUGCAAGGGUAAUUGGAGUUUUCUCUAAAAUAUUUGUUCUAGUUAUUUUUCAUAGCUUGAAUACCCAUAUCUCAUCAGGAACAAAAGAUUUCUAACAUCAAAUAUGCUAAUUAACAAACAUGGCUUGCUGAUCCCCAAAAAAUAUAACCACAGAGCUAAAGCCUGUUGAGUCUUUGUCUCUGGAGUAUGGAGUCAUUUAAACAGUCUUGUUUUUACAAGCAGGCACACUGACCACUCCUAGGUUGUAAAUUAGUACUAACACAUACACAAGUACAUUGUACUUUGCUCAAGGGCUUUAAAGAAAUGACAGAUUAUAUAACAACUUCCCAGAAGAAAUUCUAUGAUCAGCUGCAAUUUUUUUCAUUUCAUUUUAACUAUUUUAGUUUAUUCCUCUAUGGAGUCACAACUUGUGUGCCUAAAAUGAGUCAGUCUUAAAAGGAAAAGCAACCUUUCAAUGGGUCCAGCAGUGAUAGGUAGAAAAGUCUCUGUGGAGCAAAAAGAACUGGGAUGUAUAGCAGUAAUGUGUAUUCCACAAAUUACUGAGAUUUUUGUGAGAUUGCACUGAGCCUAGAAGAAAGAGGAAAUGGUGUAACAAAGUACAUCUUAUAAUCAAAUGGAAGAAAUGAAUUAUCUAUUUUUUGACCAAAAUAUUAUCAAUUCCUGUAUCAUAGCAAUAAGUAAAGCUUACUUCAGCUCGCUUAUUAAUUCUAUCCUGAAUUAAUAGUCUGUUUGGUGGUGUAAAAGCCACCAUGGCCAUUGUUUGAAGCUUCUAACAGAGCACAAGGAAGCUUGAAAAUAUUGUUUUCUUUUUUCUUUUUUUUCAGGGCUGCACUUGUGGCAUAUGGAGGUUCCUAGGCUAGGGACCCAGCCAGUGGCUACGGCUCCAAUUGGACCCCGAGCCUGGGAACCUCAAAAAAGCAAAAAGACAAUAAAAUAAAAUAAAAUAAAAUAUUUACUUUUUUUCAUUAUUUAUCCUUCCUUAUUUUUGUAUUAAUAGCCAGAAACAUAAUCUAAUAAUCUGGUAGCAUUUACAGCAAUGUAAAAACUUGGAAGCUUGGAUUCACCAAACUCACAAACAUAAGGCAAAUAUUUCCUCCUCUGUGUUAUGUUGUUGCCCCACCAAGUGAUUAGUGAUUCACUGAGUUAAACUUUUCACGUGUAAACCUUUAAGAGAAAGAAGAAAAGUAAUUAUCUUAACAUAAUUUAAAAGUUAAAAUUAUAUAUUAAAUAUAAUCAUAGUACAAAUAAAGUAAAUAUUAAAUUUUUAAACAUGCAAAUAGUUUCUGAAGUUGUUCUUGGUGCUAAAGAGACAUUGAAUAAUAAUAUUAAAUGUGCCCUGCCAUCAAAGAGGCAACACUCUAAAAUGGAGGGUGAUGAACAAUAAACAAGCAAAUAACAAUAUUAAGUCAUAUUUUGGUAAAAGUUUCAAAGGAAA
rnacentral:lncRNA from 1 species